UCCCACUCUUGUAAAGAUGGGGGGGAUUCAACCUGUGUCUCCCACAUCCCAGCACUUUUCCCAAGAUAGUCAUCACCUAGCAGAGAGCACCGAGUAACCCAAUCUGAUGUAGGACUGUUUCCCAGACAGGGUUCCCCUCUGCCCCAAAGAAGAUUCAGACCACAAAAAAUUUGAACAUUCUCAUAAUUUGUGGGUGUGAUAUCAUCAGUCCUCCGUGGUUUCUGUUCCAUCUAUGAAUUCAAAGAUUUUUGCUGCACACAGUAGCAGCACACUUAACACUGCCACCGAAGUUAUUGCUAUCCUGGGAUUUGAGUGAAAUCUCCUUAAAGCUGGUGGAUGUAACAGCAACCCUUCAUCCAUGCAAAAUAUACAAAACCAUUAAACUCAUUUAUGGAAUGAGAGAACUGAAACAAGAAGAACUACCACCCAAACUACAGGCCAAAUCUGAGCUAUGUGGGGAGAGGGGUUUCACUGUGGGUAUAAUGCGUUUUGUUUUUGGUGGAGCUUUGUGUGAGAAGAGAUGCACCAGAGAAGCUGACAGAGAAGCAGCAGAAAGCCAAGGUGACAUCAGGACAACCACUGGGAGUGUAGGCCUGAGAAAAAACCCUUGCAAGGGAGACCUUUUGGGGUAGAGUGCUGCUCUGAAAGAGGCUUGGAAUUAUGAGCAAAGAGACUGUCUUCUGAUGUUUGAUUCCUGCUUUGUUCAAUGUACAUUCUUUGUAAAUAAACAGGGUUGUAUCAAAGAAAUACCUGACUCCAGCAUCAACUUCUCCUAAGAGAAACAACCUGUAGGACCCCAUAUAUUGGUUAAUUGCUCGAGUCAAGAGAGGUAAUAUUAUUUUCAGUCUAUAGAAACACUACGUUACUCCAGAUGACAUCAAAGUAAUCAUGAGAAACCUGUGGUCUCAUCAGCAGUGGUGAAGUAGUAGACAUGAAAAGAAUCACAUACAACUCUUAUAAAUGUACAGUGGCCUCAGGUGAGGGUGAAGAAUAGAAGGUGCAUAGGCCUUCAUGAGGGUCCAGCUACAUAGCCCUGGCAGGUAGCACUCCUAGUCAUUACUGCAGUGUUAGAAAUGGAUGGGAGGCUAAGGGCUCUGGAGAGAGGAAAGAAAUCUCAUAGCAAGAGGCUCAAUUUGCUUUUUUAAGCCACAAGUCUGGGUGCAUCGGGGACCUUUCUGUGGGCCAAUGUUAAAAACAUACACAGUUUGAGGGAAUGUUACUGUCAAAUGUUAUGAAACGCCUCUUUGUUUUACUUAUUGUUGUAAAUUUGGAGAGGUGAUGAGAUGCUCCUCCCCCUACCCUCCUUUCUCACUUUGAGGUGCUCUCUCUGCUAUCUUCUCUUCUGCCUGCCCCUGUUCCCCUCACACCAUUCUCAGUCUCCUGACUUUCUUGCAACAUCCACAGUUUCUCUUUUUUUUUGUCCUUACCCUCUCUCUUUUGUCAUCUCACAUCCCUUUCCUCUCUUUGAUGCCCCCUCUUAUCUCUUAUUCUCAUCCUUCCUUUGCCCCUCAUUCUCUCCUCCUGCCCACACAGACUUCCUGUGGUGGGGGAGGAGCACUACGUGCCCCACUGCAUACUGAGCUACUCCUAUUAUACAUGUGAAGUUUCUCCCUUGUAUGACUUUCACCAACCAUAAAAGAAACAGACAGCAUGUUAUCUUCUAGAUAUAAAAUUACUUCAGAGAACACAAUGACUCUCCCUGUAAGGUGUCACAAAUUGUACUUCUGAAGCAAUGAAGUCUUCUCUGAUCUCUGUAUGUGUGUCCAAGAUGAACUAUGUUAUAUGUAAAAAUGAGAUCUAAACAAUAUAAUAAAACUAGCUUCAU